UUUCUUCGUUGCUACCAGCUCGGCUCAUGCCGUUCAAACCCAUCUUCUGUGCUUCAUUUCUGUCUUCAUAGUUCCCGCCAUUUUUUUCAUAAUUAUGAAGGUUCGUUGAGAAACCCUAGUUUUUUCUUUCUCUAAUAAUUUGGUACUAACUCUAAUAGCUGGUGAAGCAUAAUCUUAAUUGCAAUGGCCUUUGAAGAUUUUGAACCCAUCUUUCGUGAACCCAAAGUGGAGAGGCCGUCUCAAAGUUCAUGUCCUUUAGGUCCCUUUUUGAUCCACGCCUUUGCUCUUCAUUCUCAUUCUCCUCAUAUUGUAAUUCGUGUCACCGAUUUCGUCGCUGACGCUUGGGAAGCGCGUCUCUCACUCUCCAUGCUUGAGGACAUUAGGGACAGUGUUGGAAUAGGGGGCUCGUGGUCAGAGUUUGCUGAUUAUUUUGUAACGUCCCUCAAGUCAGAAGAUCUGAAGCUGAUUCUAGAGGCAAAUUCCAAUUCUGAUGAUGUUAGUCAUGCAAAAUUAGUAGCUCAGAGAUCAAAAGGGAUGCCUUUGAUCACCAUUCCUCUUACCAAACUUGUGGAUUCCACUGCUAUUAAAGUUAGGUCAAAUGUUGCCUUUAGCCUCUUUGAGGCAAUGAGAAGCAAAGAGUGCUCUCUGGUGAAAGAACAAGAGCACUCUGUUGAGUUGACAAACAUGUUAGCAGCUGAAAAGCAAUUAUGCCUGAAUGAUUUCUAUCGAAAACUUUGGCUAUAUUUCACCUUUAAGAUACCCUCAGAAUUUGAAGUUAAUUAGAUAAGUUUUUAUUCUUAUACGUUUGGGAUGGAAAGUUAACUUUCAUCCAUUUGCUGCUAUAAUAAGUUGGUAAGAUUAGCUCUUUUUCCCCUUAAUAAUUGUCAGCUUAUUAUGAGCACUCUGUCUACCUGCCAGGAAAGAAAUGAAACCAUACAACUGGAACAGCGGCAGAAGUUUCAAAAGCUUUGUGGCCCAGAAAAAGGUGUUUCUAAUGAUGGAUUGCAAAACUCUCCAGAUAAGCAAGCUGCUUGGGAUACAGGUUCUACAAAGAUCAAGAAUCGUGCGAUGCCAGCAUAUCGCAGGCAAGUGUUCUUUUUCUGUCUUAUUAACCUUAAUUCUAGUACUACCGCUAUUAUCAUCGUAUACUCAUUCUCCUUUUUCUCCCGGGCAGGACCAAAGUAAGAGGGGCCCUCUUGCAUGAUAGUGAUAAAUGAGUUAUAACCCAGCUCUCAUUGAAAUCAGUUGCUUGGUAGGAAGUGAAAAUAUUGUGUUGACAAUAUAUAUACUUUUUAUUUAUUUUCACUCCCUUACUUUGUAUUGAUGUAAAGCAUAUAUAUUAGUAAGAUGAGUCACAUAAAUUUUCAGCAAUUUAUUCACUUUUUAAAUAUGCAAAUGAAAAUUGUUCAUUUGAUGCACUAUUGCCCUUCCCCAUUUAACCUUCAUUUAAGGGUUCUUUCUGUAUUUCAAAAUGUUAAUAUGGUUCUUUCGCAUUAAAUGGUUAAUGAUGUAAUUAUUGAGUAACACCAAGUACUCCCCAAUAGCAUUUUGGAGUUAUAUGUUAGGACAUUAGGAUUUGGCAAUCAACAAAGUGGUGGUCCCCUGGCUCAUCAAAUUUGUGGCUGAAAUUUCAUAAUGCUCCAGAACGAAUCAAAAUCUUCAAUAACUGUGUAAUUUGACAAGACUUCAAUUUUCAUCUGUCUUUAGGUCCAUUGUAUUUCAGAUAUUUUUACUGGUUGGUAGAGGGGGAAAUGUGAUGGGAGACUGAGCAGGAAACAAAUGAGGCAAUAUGUGUUAGUGUGCAUGUUUUCAACUUUUCACGGUUAAAGAUAAAAGACAUCCCACAAAGGAGAAAAUGUAAUUAUUUUGUGAAUUCUUACAGAAAAGAUAAGCAAGUUAGCUACGAGACAUUUGACGAUGAAGA